UACGUAGGGUGCGAGCGUUGUCCGGAAUUACUGGGCGUAAAGAGCUCGUAGGCGGUUUGUCGCGUCUGCCGUGAAAGUCCGGGGCUCAACUCCGGAUCUGCGGUGGGUACGGGCAGACUAGAGUGAUGUAGGGGUGACUGGAAUUCCUGGUGUAGCGGUGGAAUGCGCAGAUAUCAGGAGGAACACCGGUGGCGAAGGCGGGUCUCUGGGCAGUAACUGACGCUGAGGAGCGAAAGCGUGGGGAGCGAACAGG
rnacentral:rRNA from 1 species